AGACUACAAUAUUCCAGAUAUUUUUCUAAAGUGCGGGCAAUGGAACAGUGAUUAAGCUAAGAACAUUGGCUUGACCAAUCAGCCAGGUGGAACAGAAGGUACUAGAAGAAGAAAUUCACGAGCUUGGGAACCACUCAGACCUAAUUCUGAUAACGAAACAGGCUCAGACAUCACACUUGACCACAGUCACUCAACAUUAACAGUGUAGCCUGGAUUAGAACCCAGAUUCCAUCUGACUUCAAAGCCUGUGCUGUCCACAAAGUGGAGAGACCACAUCUGCAGUACUGUGUCCGGUUCUGGCUGCCAUAUUUUCAAUCAUUAGUGAAGAAAUGUGGAUAGAAGGAGAAAGAGAAGGGUGUAAAAAUUAUCACCUUAGAAUCCCAUCAGGACCUUUCAAUUUCCCUAACUGAGAUACUCUGCGCCUGAGCAGCAGUGCU